AUGUUACAGAACUAGACUUGGCCUUUUUAAGGUUCUGCUGGAAAUUGGACCAGGAAAUUCCGAGUCGAUUGCUGAGUUGGAUUCCGCUAGUGAGAAACAAGAUGGCGAGCCGUAACCCAGGUUGCCCUGUGACCGCAGUCUAGCAGGAGCUACGCCCUCUGCUGGACAUUGCAAAUCAUCCAAACUGGUAUGACCUGCCCAUGUUUCCCUGCUGAAAUAGCAGUGGAUUCAGAGAAACGGGAUUUACCCUUCAGGAUCAUCAGAGAGAAAAGACAUUGAUUUGAAGCACAAGUUAUUCGGUCUUUUGCUGGAUUGUUUCUGUUGUGUUUUAGUUUUUUUUUCUUCUCGAACCACAUUCAAUAUCCAUUGUUACAGUGUGUGGAAUGUGAAAUUGUCCAUUGGGUUUAAAAUAGAAACAAGAAAUGGUUAAAACAGGAAAUUAAAAAACCUUAACUUCUCAAAAAGAACACUAAACUAAAAUAGAUUUAAAAAGAUUAAAAAUAAACUGUAAAUUAAAUAGAUUAACAGUACUAUCUUGAACUUAAAUAUAACUAUUACCUAGGUUUGAAUAAAUAGUAUUCUUUAAUACCUAACAUUAUGUUUAAAUUUCAAAACAGGGAUUAAAUAAAAUAUUCUGGAAGAAACAGGGAAACUAUUUUGAAUUUUGUGUCAUUGUAUGUCAACUGUUUGUAAUAUUGUUGUUUGUUUUCUUUUCAACAAAUAAUAAGCUGGCAGUUUAAACUUAUUUUCUGGUCUGUGGUCAUUAAUCCACUUACACUUCUCCCUACUCCCGAACCUAGCACUGGUCCUAUUGUCUGUCCUAUUAACUGUAAUCGUGUCAUAAGUGUUACACGGUCACCUCUCCUGCCGGAGCUCCAGUCGCUGCUGCACGUCUUCUCUGUCGUCUUUGGAGCCAGCAAUACUUCAGCUCUUAUUAGAUGGUCGGAUAAGGGAAGUUUCCAUAAAAAAAUAAAUCUAAAAAAAAAAAAAAAAUCUAUUUUCUGCCAGCAAUAUAAAAAAUCCUAAUAGAGAUAGCCAUAAAUAAAUGCCUUUAUCUGAUACAGAAGCCUUAUUGACUUCUAGGAAGGAACUUUCAAUUAAAUGCAUAAAAAAUAAA